rnacentral:rRNA from 1 species
GACGAACGCUGGCGGCGUGCUUAACACAUGCAAGUCGAACGGAAAGGCCCUGCUUUUGUGGGGUGCUCGAGUGGCGAACGGGUGAGUAACACGUGAGUAACCUGCCCUUGACUUUGGGAUAACUUCAGGAAACUGGGGCUAAUACCGGAUAGGAGCUCCUGCUGCAUGGUGGGGGUUGAAAAGUUUCGGCGGUUGGGGAUGGACUCGCGGCUUAUCAGCUUGUUGGUGGGGUAGUGGCUUACCAAGGCUUUGACGGGUAGCCGGCCUGAGAGGGUGACCGGCCACAUUGGGACUGAGAUACGGCCCAGACUCCUACGGGAGGCAGCAGUGGGGAAUAUUGCACAAUGGGCGGAAGUCUGAUGCAGCAACGCCGCGUGCGGGAUGACGGCCUUCGGGUUGUAAACCGCUUUCGCCUGUGACGAAGCGUGAGUGACGGUAAUGGGUAAAGAAGCACCGGCUAACUACGUG